rnacentral:rRNA from 1 species
UCCGACCCGCACGAAAGGCGUAACGAUUUGGGCACUGUCUCAACAACAGACUCGGUGAAAUUGUAAUUCCGGUGAAGAUGCCGGAUACCGGCGACAGGACGGAAAGACCCCAUGGAGCUUUACUGUAGCUUGACAUUGGGUCUUGGUACUACAUGUACAGGAUAGGUGGGAGGCUUUGAAACCAGGACGCCAGUUUUGGCGGAGCCAUCCUUGGGAU